rnacentral:rRNA from 1 species
UACGUAGGGGGCAAGCGUUAUCGGAAUUACUGGGUGUAAAGGGUGAGUAGGCGGCAUGGUAAGCCAGAUGUGAAAGCCUUGGGCUUAACCCGAGGAUUGCAUUUGGAACUAUCAAGCUAGAGUACAGGAGAGGAAAGCGGAAUUCCUAGUGUAGCGGUGAAAUGCGUAGAUAUUAGGAAGAACACCAGUGGCGAAGGCGGCUUUCUGGACUGAAACUGACGCUGAGGCACGAAAGCGUGGGGAGCAAACAGG